UCUCUCUCUCUCUCUCUCUGCUUCACCUUCACGAGCUCACGUUCCAUUAAUCCAUACUGAACAAAGACAAAAGCUCAUAGGAUUUUUUUAGAUACCUCACUUUACCCUAACACCCCUCUGUCUCUCUCUCUUUUACUCGUGAUAUUAUCUUCAUAUAUGUAAAUCAAAUCCAACCAUUAGAUACCCAGUUAUGAAUCCAAUUUGUUCUUUUCUUUAUCUCGAGGAAAAUCCUCAACCAUAUAUAUAAAAAUAUAUAUUGUUCUUUUCUUUGGGUGUGUAUGCUUUAUUCUGUAUUUUCCUCUGUUUCUCAUGGCUGCUGCUACUACUGAUACUCAAAUCUUUCAAAACCUUGAGAAUAACAAUGAAAAUAGCAACAAUGAUGUUAGGAGACAAGAGAUACAAGCUGCCAUUGCCAAAGCAGUUGAGCUUAGAGCUCUCCAUGCUGCUCUCAUGCACGGAAACAGCCCUGCCAAUCGCAAAUUUCGAUCUUCCUCCCCUGUUUCACUCCCUGUUUCUCAGUUUUCUGCUCAAGAUUACCCUGUUUUCACUCCUAGUUAUGAGGACGAGCCAUUACCCGGGCUUGAGUCGCUGCCAAAAUCAAGAACAUUAUCAGAAAGUUGGGAUGAGUAUGGGCUAGGAGGGAAUGGAAUGGCCAGUUUGGAAUCUCACAUUUGUCCAGCUGAAGAUCAAAAAUCCGUCACUGGUUCUUCUGCAAAAAAUAUUACUGUGCUUCACGCAUCACCCCGAACAGAAUUCUACAAGAGUAGGAGAAAUAGCUUGGCAGACUUCAAAUCUGUAUCUUCUUGCAAUAGGGGCAAACCAGCCCCUAUUACCUCUGAGUCUGAAAAUGUAACUAGGAACAGCAGGAAUUCUAACAUCGUUGUACCAUGGACAGAUUCUCAUUCACCUGCUCAACCACACCCGAGAAAUAAAGGAAUGAUUUCAUGGUUGUUCCCAAAGUUAAAGAAGAAGCAGAAGAAUGAGAGUUCAUCGAAUAGAGCAGAAUCUGAGGAAGUUUCCCAGAAUUUCAAGGACUUGGGCAUAUUGUCAAUUGAAACAUUGAAGAGAGAGUUGACAGAAGCGAAUGAGAAUCGAGAUGCAGCGUUAAUGGAGGUUGCUGAAAUGAAGUCUUCAUUGGGAGAACUAAAGCAGAAGAUCGAGUACUUGGAGAGUUACUGUGAAAAGCUGAAGAGAGCCUUAAGGCAAGCUACACUGGCAAAAGGUUCACAAGUAAUGGAAAAACUAGGAAACUUCCCCAGGAGAGGGAAACCCAAUGAUGGAAACGGAGAAAACUCAAUGCCGGUAAGCGAAGAGGUAAUGGUGGAGGGGUUUUUGCAGAUUGUAUCAGAAACAAGAUUGUCAGUGAAGCAAUUCUGCAAGACCCUAGUAGGGCAGAUUGGAGAAACAGACGGUACUCUUAUGGACAACUUGAACUUGCUUCUUCAGCCAUAUAAAUUGUCUCUCAAUUCAAGGUACUCCAAGGCAGUACUGUAUCAUUUGGAAGCAAUCAUUAACCAAUCUCUCUACCAAGAUUUUGAGAAUCGUGUAUUCCAAAAGAAUGGUUCACCAUUGCAUUUAGAUCCUCAACAAGAUCGCCAGGCACAAUUUGCAUCAUUUGUUGCACUGAGGAACCUAAGCUGGAAUGAAGUUUUAAGGAAGGGAACUAAAUAUUACAGUGAAGAGUUCAGCAAAUUUUGUGAUCAGAAGAUGAGUUGCAUUAUUACAACAAUGAAUUGGACAAGACCAUGGCCUGAACAGCUUCUUCAAGCUUUCUUUGUUGCUGCUAAAUGCAUAUGGUUGCUUCAUUUGCUUGCUUUUUCAUUCAAUCCACCCCUGGGAAUUUUAAGGGUCGAAGAGAAUAGGAGCUUCGAUCCACAUUACAUGGAGGACAUGUUCAUGGAUAGGCAAAGAUCACAUGGUCCAACCCGAGUUAAGAUGAUGGUGAUGCCAGGGUUUUAUGUUCAGGACAAGGUCUUAAGGUGUAAGGUUCUUUGCAGGUACAAGUCUGUAGCUUAAUUUAUAAGUAAUUUACCAUUUUUCUUUCUUACUUGGUGGGUUUUUGAAGGGGAAGUCUGUAAGGCUAAAUUUAUGUGUACUUAAUAAAAAGGUUAAAUGGGUUUCUUUAAUACUAACAAAGCAUAAUUAUUAUACCAUAUCAAG
rnacentral:misc_RNA from 1 species